CCCCCUUAGUUCUGACGCCCGGCCCCUGAGGAGAACGUGAGGAGUCAGAGGGACAUUUCAACCAGCUGGUGGCUUAACACGAGCCGGGCCGCUCAGUCUUUCACUACUGUUCAAUAGUGAUGUUGAUGUCUCUAAAUUCUCAAAGUGAAGUCUAUAUAUUCUACCAAUAUAAAUGGAUUGCCAGCCAGUACCUCAGUCUGUGUACAAGAAUCGUACUUGCGACGCUCUGAAAGCCCUCCCGCCUCAGGCUUCCCAGUUAGACAAGCUAGUUCCCAAUCAGCUUUUGGCUUCUGAAGUCCCCUCCCCCCUUCCCCGCUGAGUAGAGGAACAGAAACUGAUACCGCCCUCUCAACAACUGUUGGCCCCUCCCUCCCUUCCUGUAAAUAGCCAGGCAGUUGGUCGUCUCGUCCCCCCCCCCCCAUAAAACCGAAACCAGAAGCUUGCUGACGAGCCCACUUCCUCUCAGGAUUUCCACUACUUCCUCCCUGAUGCAACACUUAACUCCUCCCUGAUGCAGCACCUUAACCUUAACUCCUCCCUGAUGCAGAACCUGAACCUUAACUGCUCCCUGAGGCAACCAUACCGUCGCCAUUUUAAUUUAUCUUAUACAAACAGAGCCUGAGUAUUUGCACAACACGCAUCCCUUUGUUAUUAAUUGAGUGUGUGUGUUGAUGUGGGUUGGAGUCUUAAUGCGGGUCUGUGUCCAGGUAUGGGGGCAUUAAUGCGGGUGUGUCCAGGUAUGGGGGCAUUAAUGCGGGUGUGUCCAGGUAUGGGGGCAUUAAUGCGGGUGUGUCCAGGUAUGGGGGCAUUAAUGCGGGUGUGUGUCCAGGUAUGGGGGCAUUAAUGCGGGCCUGUGUCCAGGUUUGGGGGUAUUAAUAAGGGCCUGUGUCCAGGUAUGGGGGCAUUAAUGUGGGUGUGUCCAGGUAUGGGGGCAUUAAUGCGGGCCUGUGUCCAGGUAUGGGGGCAUUAAUGUGGGUGUGUCCAGGUAUGGGGGUAUUAAUGCGGGUCUGUUCAGGUAUGGGGGUAUUAAUGCUGGUCUGUUCAGUAAGGCUGGGGGUAAACGAUAAUUUAUUAAACGAUUAAUCGGGCGAUUAUUUUAUCGAUUAGUCGACUAAUCUAAUGACUAAUUGGACGAUUAUCUAUUUUUCUGUUGCUCGAUUAAUAAAAACCAUAAUGUAUCUCAAAUAAAUACCAAAAAAUUCUUAAUAAUAUACUUUAUUUAAUACGGAACCCGUAAAGGGACAUGAAAAAAAUGUGUGCGUAUACUCUCUUGCGCUCCGCCUCCAACUACGAGAUGGUUAGUUACAUCUUUCCUGCUGUCGGCUCCCAGACCGAGGAGCGCAGGUGAUACGUUCCCUCCAGGGCCGAUGCUCUCUUGGGGGCAUGACCCUUCACUUUGACCGACGUGAGUCUGCUUAUAGGUCGAAAUAUGAUGGAAUGAAGCGGCCACCGAUUCUUGACAGGCUGGGUACUUUAUUCUUACACACAACCGGACUCGUUCAUGACUUCACUAGACUGACACGCACGCUAUCGCUCGCUCUCCUCGCUCGUCCACCUACUCGCUGACGACACACACACACACACACACACACACACACACACACACACACACACACACACACACACACACACACACACACACACACACACACACACACACACACACACACACACACACACACACACACA